rnacentral:rRNA from 1 species
AACGUAGGAGACAAACGUUAUCCGGAGUUACUGGGCGUAAAGGGCGUGUAGGUGGUGCUGUAAGUCUGGCGUGAAAUUUUUCGGCUUAACCGGGAAAGGUCGUCGGAUACUGCAGGACUAGAGGACGGUAGAGGCGUGUGGAAUUCCGGGUGUAGUGGUGAAAUGCGUAGAGAUGUGGAGGAACACCAGUGGCGAAGGCGACUCUUUGGCCUGUAACUGACGCUGAGGCGCGAAAGCGUGGGGAGCAAACAGG